UUUUAAUAGAAGCCAAAACCCCCGAGGCUAUUCACUGUUAAUGAAUAAAUUGAAUUACUCCUAUUAAA
rnacentral:tRNA from 1 species